rnacentral:rRNA from 1 species
UAACACGUAAGAAAUCUGCCUAUCAGAGGGGAAUAACAGUGAGAAAUCACUGCUAAUACCGCAUAUGCCAUAGGGUUCGCAUGAACCUAGUGGGAAAGGAGCAAUCCGCUGAUAGAUGAGCUUGCGUCUGAUUAGCUAGUUGGUGGGGUAAAGGCCUACCAAGGCAACGAUCAGUAGCCGGACUGAGAGGUUGAACGGCCACAUUGGGACUGAGAUACGGCCCAGACUCCUACGAGAGGCAGCAGUCGGGAAUAUUGCGCAAUGGAGGAAACUCUGACGCAGUGACGCCGCGUAUAGGAAGAAGGUUUUCGGAUUGUAAACUAUUGUCGUUAGGGAAGAGAAAGGACAGUACCUAAGGAGGAAGCUCCGGCUAACUACGUGCCAGCAGCCGCGGUAAUACGUAGGGAGCGAGCGUUAUCCGGAAUUAUUGGGUGUAAAGGGCGCGUAGACGGGAAAGCAAGUUAGUUGUGAAAUCCCUCGGCUUAACUGAGGAACUGCAACUAAAACUACUUUUCUUGAGUGCAGGAGAGGUAAGUGGAAUUCCUAGUGUAGCGGUGAAAUGCGUAGAUAUUAGGAGGAACACCAGUGGCGAAGGCGACUUACUGGACUGUAACUGACGUUGAGGCACGAAAGUGUGGGGAGCAAACAGGAUUAGAUACCCUGGUAGU